UCUUUCCUGCGUGAGGCAAGAACCUAUUCUCCAAUAUCUGUGGCACAGCCAGCCAGGAGGUAUAACGUGGCUCAGAGAGAUGGCGUAUUUACCUUAGAUCACAAAGCCAAGAAGUAGAAGAGCUGAAAUUAAAGCGUGAGCAGGUUUAACCACAAAAUCCCUGUCCUAACCACUAUGCCCGACUGUCUCCUUAGCUGCACCACAAUCAACAGCCAUGGAUUUCUUUGCUGUCUACAGCCUCAUGGUAUCCAGUACAGGGCUGGACCCAGAGCAGUGCACCGAUGAAUACUUCUCAUGUAACUGGCUUCAGAAAGAACUCUCAAAACAGACAACUUACUAAAAAAGCCCAGCAAAAUGACUUGUCCCAAGCAACACUGAUGUCACAGGAGAAAUGCAAAGCUUCAUCCUGAUCUGAACAGAAAGUUCUGUCAUUUGUCUCCUAGAAGGUGGCAACAUUUUAACCAACUAAAGCAGCUUUACUGAGGGAGAAAAGCAGCACUGGAAUGUCCUCUGGGGGCAAGAUAGAGUGAUGCUCAUUUCCUAGGGGUGAGGGAAGUCGCACAGGCUGCUGCUCAGUCCUCAGGCCCCUCUGAGUCCACGAUGACAGCUCAGUGUCUGGACCACCCUGGUUCUGAAACGUACUCCACCACCUGCCGAAAAGUCAGCAGUCAACUUGUGAGAGUUCCAAGGGGAGAAAUGUGAGGGGCUGUGCAGCUCUGGGAGGAUGCAGGCAUGACGGUGCUGCUCGUGCCCACCUACCAGCCCCCUGCAUCCUCCAAGGCAGGCGGGGGGAGGCAGCCUCACCAUUCAACACCCGACAGCAAGGGACAGAGAAUGAAAUACAGGCAACGCUCAGAGAUGUCAUGGGUUCAGUUCCAGACCACCGCAAAAAAAAAAAA